ACCUUGAAGACAAAUAUCAAAGACCAGCACAAAACAGGGACAGAAGUGCAAAUUGCCCUGUAAAACCACAACAUCGGGCAGCCGGUCCAUUCAUACAUCGUCCCGUCCCCCGUUGGACUUUGCAGUAGUACGAGGAGUAGAGAGAACUGACAAGUAUGCGAAGCUAACCAAAAAUCUUACAGUUUCCAUUUUUUGCUCUCUCUCUAUCUUUGCCUUAAUCAUGAAAGCAACUAAUUUCAAUGCUUUUACUCAAUUUCGUUUCCUAUUAUUCAAUUCUUCUAAAACCCUUGUUAUCCCCUUAAACCCCACCAGAUUCAGAUUCCUCAACAUAUCUGCAGCUGCUGCUUUACCUUCUCUUCCUGAAACCCUACAAGAAGACCAAACAGAAGACCAAACAAAAGACACCCUCAGUACCACUACUUCCAAACAACCAGCAGAUUUAUUUAGGCAAAUGGGUUGUACUGAAGAUGACAUUUCCAAGAUUUUUCAACGCCGUCCAUCUUUACAAAAAAUGGACCUUAAAAACCUUCAUUCAAAGCUCAAAAUACUCACUGAUUUAGGUCGUAUCUGGGAGGCGACAUGUGGGGAUCAUGUCUGCCGAACCUAUUGAAAAUUACAGCGUGAGGUUAUUGUUUGAUGACUUGCAUAAGACUGGCAUUUUCUAGUGGAACUACCCCUACCAUCUUGGGAGCAACAAGUCAUUCUCAUGCGAGAUUACAUCAAAACUCUAAAGAAACAUGGAUUUAGCGGGGAUCCUCCCAGAAGAAAGUGAUUAUUAAAUCACACCAUGAAUAUGCUAAUUGUGGGUGGAUGCUUUACAUUACUUAUGGUUAGCAGACAAUCUUCUCACGUGCGCAAAGUGGCGACAAUGACCUGCCUCUGAACUGAUCAGUGCUGUAAGUAAGGCCAUGAUGAUGACUAGCUCCUUAUAUACUGUCAUAUGUGCAGUCGAGUUUGUGACAUGUUAUAAACAAUGCGAAUUUGAUAUAUCCAUUGAAACUACAAAGGCCAAAAGUAGAAUUCCAGUUGAAACAAAGGACGCAACGGAACUUGCAAAAAAAGUUGUUACAAAGACAAGUUUGAUGUGACGAUAGAGAGAAAAAAUGAACAUGGCAAGGAAGAUAUUAUUCUCUCUUGGGUCAUUAAUUUUGUUUCCAAAUUGUACUAAAACGUCUGAAAUCUGUUACUGAGAAACAAGAAAGUGGAUUAAAGAAGAGUUGAGAACGA